UUAGUACAUUAGCAGCAGACUGAUUGAUCUGAAGAGAGAGUGAGCUUCGUCAGGGAGAAGAGUUUAAAAAGGAGCGUUUUGUGGGGCUCGGCACAUUAGUGGCGGACCAGUCGAUUCAAGGAGCGACUGCGCUUCGCACAGGUCGGGGAGAAGAGUUUAAAAAGGAGCGUUUUGUGGGGCUCGGCACAUUAGUGGCGGACCAGUCGAUUCAAGGAGCGACUGCGCUUCUGAGAGAAGGGCGCAGACACCGCAGCUCAUUAUCGCACAAGGGCGCUGAGAAACCUCCAAAAUAAAAAGAGGCGUUGUCAGAGCAGCGUGGCUCAAGGAGAAAAUCUCAAGAUGCUGGAAAUCCAAAGCAACAGUGGAGGAACUCAGCAGGCCGGGACGCAUCCAUGGAAAAGAGUAAACAGUCGACAUUUCGGGCCGAGACCCUUCAUCAGAACUGGAGAAAAAUGAUGAGAAGGAGGUGGACGGCGGGGAGGAAGAAAUACAAAGUGUCUGAGUAUUGGAGAGUGAAGAUUUACUGGAGUACAGAAACCCGAAGGAUUGAGUAAAGUUGGUGCCGUUGGUGGUAAUACAGGAUUGACCUUACUGGAUCUUCAUUCCGGGAAUAGUAACCUGCAUCCGAGAUAGCCCCUGCAUUGUAAGAGCAGAAAGGGUUGGGCGCAGUGUUAUUUGUCAAGGAAGAUGUCAGUUCCUUCAAACCGUUUUUAUUUCCUUCAUCAUGAACCUUUCGGGCAAGGCAUAUUUUGGCUGGGAUCAGCAGUAAUGCCACGUUGUUGAGGAAUUCGUUACUUCAGGAGAGUCUUUCCUAAUUGACUGUAUAAAUCAUUUGGACUUUCGCAUUUAUUGCUUUAAGAACUGUUCCGAGUUGCCGUAUAGCAGUUAACUUCCGGUUAAGUUAGUAGUUUGUUUACUUUUCAUUUUUAUUGA